rnacentral:lncRNA from 1 species
GAGGACCUCGGCAGUGCGACACUGGCAGCUGAGCUGCUGGGGUUGGUGUUUACCUUGAUUCGGUGAUGAUGGUUGGUGUUGGCCAGGCUGUUGUUGCUCCCCUAGUGUGUUCUGGUGUUCAUCAGGUCUUGGUUGAAGCCUUAUAUCGUCCUUAAUGUUUGGGGAAUCCACCUCCUCCGCAGAGUCCUUCUCGCCGAUCCAGGCACAGCGUCGGAGGUUUUCCACACCUCGCAGGAUCAUCAGCUGUCCACCGUCCGUACUGCCGGGAUAACAUCAAGUGGAAGCCCCAGUACUCCUUGACGUCGUCCUUGAGCAUGGUGGAGUGGAGGACGAAGUGUGUGGAGCGGUUGGUGGAGGUGGUGGGUGUGUGUGGCGCGAUAUAGGUGUUGAAGCUGCCGUUCAUUUGUGUCAGCUGAGACUACCCUCAUCACAGUGGUUCAUCUCACAACCAAUUCUGGUCCCAGAUCUCAAAACACAAGUUAAACGACAACGCAUUGAAUAAAGUUUAAUUUCAUAGAGACUCCGCCAGGCGCGUUCUCUGUUACACAGAUAAACUGAUGCUCCAAGACUCACACGUAAGCAGAGACAAUGACGCACUUGGCGGCGGCCCCUUAACUACUAAAGCCGCAGCCAAGCAAGAUGCCCAGUUGACUGGAAGACCUCAUACGAGUCACCAGUGCCCAGGUCAAACAACCCACAAUCCUUAAAUGAGCUACAACCCAUUGCAAUCACCCCAAAAUCCAGCUUAAUCUGUGAUAUUGCAGGCGCCAUAGAUUCUCUGCAAUUUGGCAAUAUGAAAACUUC